UCCCUGGUGGUCCAGUGGCUAAAACUCCUCCCUCCAAAGGCAGGGGUCCCAGGUUCGAUCCCUGGUCAGGGAA